rnacentral:rRNA from 1 species
CUAGUUGGUGAGGUAACGGCUUACCAAGGCGACGAUCUGUAGCGGGUCUGAGAGGAUGAUCCGCCACACUGGAACUGAGACACGGUCCAGACUCCUACGGGAGGCAGCAGUGGGGAAUUUUGGACAAUGGGGGCAACCCUGAUCCAGCCAUGCCGCGUGAGUGAAGAAGGCCUUCGGGUUGUAAAGCUCUUUCGGCCGGGAAGAAAUCGCAUGGGCCAAUACCCUGUGUGGAUGACGGUACCGGAAUAAGAAGCACCGGCUAACUACGUGCCAGCAGCCGCGGUAAUACGUAGGGUGCGAGCGUUAAUCGGAAUUACUGGGCGUAAAGCGUGCGCAGGCGGUUUUGUAAGACAGGCGUGAAAUCCCCGGGCUCAACCUGGGAACUGCGUUUGUGACUGCAAGGCUAGAGUACGGCAGAGGGGGGUGGAAUUCCACGUGUAGCAGUGAAAUGCGUAGAGAUGUGGAGGAACACCAAUGGCGAAGGCAGCCCCCUGGGUCGAUACUGACGCUCAUGCACGAAAGCGUGGGUAGCAAACAGGAUUAGAUACCCUGGUAGUCCACGCCCUAAACUAUGUCAACUAGGUGUUGGGUGGGUAAAACCAUUUAGUACCGUAGCUAACGCGUGAAGUUGACCGCCUGGGGAGUACGGCCGCAAGGUUAAAACUCAAAGGAAUUGACGGGGACCCGCACAAGCGGUGGAUGAUGUGGAUUAAUUCGAUGCAACGCGAAAAACCUUACCUACCCUUGACAUGCCAGGAACUUGCCAGAGAUGGCUUGGUGCCCGAAAGGGAGCCUGGACACAGGUGCUGCAUGGCUGUCGUCAGCUCGUGUCGUGAGAUGUUGGGUUAAGUCCCGCAACGAGCGCAACCCUUGUCGUUAAUUGCCAUCAUUUAGUUGGGCACUUUAGCGAGACUGCCGGUGACAAACCGGAGGAAGGUGGGGAUGACGUCAAGUCCUCAUGGCCCUUAUGGGUAGGGCUUCACACGUCAUACAAUGGUCGGUACAAAGGGUCGCCAAGCCGCGAGGUGGAGCCAAUCCCAGAAAGCCGAUCGUAGUCCGGAUUGCAGGCUGCAACUCGCCCGCAUGAAGUCGGAAUCGCUAGUAAUCGUGGAUCAGCAUGUCACGGUGAAUACGUUCCCGGGUCUUGUACACACCGCCCGUCACACCAUGGGAGCGGGUUCCGCCAGAAGUAGGUAGCCUAACCGCAAGGAGGGCGCUUACCACGGCGGGGUUCGUGACUGGGGUGAAGUCGUAACAAGGUAGCCGUAGGGGAACCUGCGGCUG